rnacentral:rRNA from 1 species
CAGCAGCCGCGGGAAUACGGAGGGGGCUAGCGUUGUUCGGAAUUACUGGGCGUAAAGCGCACGUAGGCGGCGAUCAAAGUCAGGCGUGAAAUUCCUGGGCUCAACCUGGGGGCUGCGUUUGAUACUUGAUUGCUAGAGUGGGGAAGAGGGUCGUGGAAUUCCCAGUGUAGAGGUGGAAUUCGUAGAUAUUGGGAAGAACACCGGUGGCGAAGGCGGCGACCUGGUCCUUGACUGACGCUGAGGCGCGAAAGCGUGGGGAGCAAACAGGAUUAGAUACCCCAGUAGUCCCUGUCUCUUAUAC